AAGAUUCCACAAGCCACAAAGCAACUAAACCAGUAUGCCACAACCACUGAGCCCAAACACUAGAGUCCGUGCUCCUCAACAAGGGAAGCCCUCGCUCGCUCCAAGUAAAGAAAGCCCAAGUGCAGUAAUAAAGACCCAGUGAAGUCAUGAAUAAAUUAAUAGCAUGCAUACCCGUAUUUGUAUAGAGUUAAAGGGAUGAAAGAAGUUAUCCUAAAAUGCAAUCUCUUGCAGUGAUGGAAUUAUGGGUGAUCUUUAUUUUCCAGUAUUUUUCUUUUCAGCAUUUUUGGCAAUGAGUGUGUAUUAUUUUUAAGAGUCAGAAAGAAAUGAUAAGCUCUUUUAAAGCUGCAGGAAUCGAAAUAAGAUACAUAUUUUCUGCCUAUACCUUUGAAAAGUUUUAUUUUAAUUACUUAUAUUUCUUCUCAUUCAAUAUUAAGAAAUUAAAUUUCUGUUUCCCUAGGUCCUCUGGAACAAUCCAUCUGGUUCCACCUAUUAUCUGCUUCCCUGGACCUUUAGGCUUGUCUUGGCCCAUCUGAAGACCAGGCAGUUGAUAAAUCCUGAGGCUCGCUGCUCAGACUGGCUCGGGUGGGACACAGUCACCAGGGAUGGUAGAACGUAAGAAUGGGGCAAGUGUCCGGACUGCUCUCCUGGACACUGAGCAGAGUCCUGUGGCUCUCAGGCCUCUCUGAGUGCGGAGCUGCCUGGCAACCCUGCAUCAUGGAAGAGAAAGAGCUAGAAGUUUAUGACUAGAUUCAAACUCUCCGGGACCCAGAGAAGCCCAGUACUUUAGAAGAACUGAAAGUGGUAACAGAAAGUUGUGUGGAGGUUCAAGAGAUAAAUAAAGAUGACUAUUGGUUAUUAUAAGGUUCACACCAACAGUACCUCAUGGCUCUUCAGCAACUCUUAUUGGCCUGUGCUUAAGAGUAAAACUUCAACAGUGUUUACCAUUUAAUAUGUUGGAAAUCUAAAUUUCUGAAGGAACCCACUCAACAGAGGAAGAUAUGAACAAGCAGAUAAAUGACAAAGAGCUAGUGGCGGCUGCAAUGGAGAAACCCAACUUAUGGGAAAUCAUGGAACAGUGUGUCCUUGCACCUAAGAGCUGUUUUAAGAGCCACUAACAAUAAUCAUUUGAUACAUUUGUUUAAACUCUUUGUAAAAUGUAGAAGAUUCAUGUUUAAUACAUAGGUGAU